CUAGCUUAGAAGAUAUUUAAGCCAAUGGUCAAAGUAUGCUUUUUGUCCACCAAUCAAAUUUGAGCAUAAGAAACGCCUAGAAGCUCUUAGAUUAUUAGUACCGUUACUUUGCUAUUCCUCACACUAUGGCCCCAACAACUUCUAAUCUUUGCAAUUAACUCUAGCACCUUGUAUAAUAAUAACACUUAGCACAAAAAUCACGUAAUCACCAAAAUUUUAUCGCACUAGCGGGUCCCACGUCUAUAAUGCGUUUCAAAUUUAACAUACACUAACUUAUACUAGAAAAAUGAUUUUAAAACUGUACUUGCUUAUAAAAAUGCAUAGAAACAUUAAUAUUUAAAGGCAAGUAUAAAAAUGUAGGCAAAAAUAAAAUAAUGCCUAGAAAAUGUGAAAAUUUUUGGAUUC
rnacentral:lncRNA from 1 species